UACGGGGGGGGCAAGCGUUGUUCGGAAUUACUGGGCGUAAAGGGCUCGUAGGUGGCCAACUAAGUCAUACGUGAAAUCCCUCGGCUUAACCGGGGAACUGCGUCUGAUACUGGAUGGCUUGAGGUUGGGAGAGGGAUGCGGAAUUCCAGGUGUAGCGGUGAAAUGCGUAGAUAUCUGGAGGAACACCGGUGGCGAAGGCGGCAUCCUGGACCGACAUUGACGCUGAGGAGCGAAAGCCAGGGGAGCAAACGGG
rnacentral:rRNA from 1 species